AAUCCUCUUUAUAGCUUAAUGUUAGAAGAAUAAGUCUAAUGUUAAUGACUCGCAUAUUUUUUGAUAUACAGGUUUAAAAUUGUUCAAUUCUUCAAAUCUUUUGCAUGAUAUAAAUUCUUCUUCCCACCAAACCUGCUCCUGAUUCCUGAAUAUUAGUCCUUAGAUUGAAGAUAAGUAACAGGAAUGAAAUAUGCUUGUUGAAGAUACUUGUUAAUAAUGAUUAAAUUUUUAUGAGGUGAAUAAACAAGAAAAGUCAAAGUAGGGGGAAGGUGAUCUGGUGAACAUUCUAUUCUGGAAGUUUUAGGCGCAAUGCCUGUUUGCUAAGUUUCAUAAUGGCUUCCUGUAGGAAAACAUGCCCCUUGAGGAAGUUUUUGACCAGAUUAAAUGUAGGAGAGAAGGUUUGAGCUCUGAUGAAGUUCAAGAGCGGCUGGAUUUGUUUGGAUACAAUAAACUUGAAGAGAAAAAGGUUAGCAAGGAGGGGUCCAUUGUGCAUCAUGUUCACUUUCUUUAUUGCUUUUUUAUAUUUCUGUACCUGAUUGAUUCAUUUACUCUUUCUUCAAUAGGAAAAUAAAAUAUUAAAGUUUUUGGGUUUUAUGUG
rnacentral:misc_RNA from 1 species